GAGCGGUGCUCCGAGCUCGGGGCCUCCCUGGCCAUUGUCCAGGAUGAGGCAAUGCAUUGGCUCUUGCGCCUCCGCGGGAACGUCGAUUACUGGCUCGGGCUGCGCAGACGGGGCGAGCGCCUGCGGUGGGGGGACGGCAGCAGCUUCAGCUCCUCGGUUCCUGUCCUUGGCAGUGAAGAGUGCGUGUGCCUGGCUGAGGAGAAAUUCAGGAGUGAGAGCUGCUCAAAUCCUCGGCCCUAUCUCUGCAGCAAGGCCCAAGCUCCCCUGUAACAGGGGCUGGAGAAAGGACCUUCUCCACACUGGGCAGUCCCAGCUUCAGCUCUUAGCCCAGCCCAGGGCUGUCCUUCCUCAGCUGCUCCCUGUGCCUUGCACUUGCUCUCAGGGUCACCUCAGUGCCUGUUCAUCCCCACUGCCAGCGCUGGGCUGGCUGUUCAAAGGAAAACCCUCUGCAAUCCAUCCUGCCAGCCAUGCUAGCUGGAGUGAGG